GACGAACGCUGGCGGCGUGCUUAACACAUGCAAGUCGAACGGAAAGGCCCUGCUUUUGUGGGGUGCUCGAGUGGCGAACGGGUGAGUAACACGUGAGUAACCUGCCCUUGACUUUGGGAUAACUUCAGGAAACUGGGGCUAAUACCGGAUAGGAGCUCCUGCUGCAUGGUGGGGUUGGAAAGUUUCGGCGGUUGGGGAUGGACUCGCGGCUUAUCAGCUUGUUGGUGGGGUAGUGGCUUACCAAGGCUUUGACGGGUAGCCGGCCUGAGAGGGUGACCGGCCACAUUGGGACUGAGAUACGGCCCAGACUCCUACGGGAGGCAGCAGUGGGGAAUAUUGCACAAUGGGCGGAAACCUGAUGCAGCAACGCCGCGUGCGGGAUGACGGCCUUCGGGUUGUAAACCGCUUUCGCCUGUGACGAAGCGUGAGUGACGGUAAUGGGUAAAGAAGCACCGGCUAACUACGUG
rnacentral:rRNA from 1 species